GGCGUAAAUUGGCAACCAACGAUAUUUUACGACGUUGGAUAUCGUUUUUUAGGCCUCCGGAGCCUAAGGUCCCGGGUCCGAAUCCCGGCGGGUCCG
rnacentral:tRNA from 2 species